rnacentral:rRNA from 1 species
GAUGAACGCUGGCGGCGUGCCUAAUACAUGCAAGUCGAGCGAACAGACGAGGAGCUUGCUCCUCUGACGUUAGCGGCGGACGGGUGAGUAACACGUGGAUAACCUACCUAUAAGACUGGGAUAACUUCGGGAAACCGGAGCUAAUACCGGAUAAUAUAUUGAACCGCAUGGUUCAAUAGUGAAAGACGGUUUUGCUGUCACUUAUAGAUGGAUCCGCGCCGCAUUAGCUAGUUGGUAAGGUAACGGCUUACCAAGGCAACGAUGCGUAGCCGACCUGAGAGGGUGAUCGGCCACACAUGAACAGAGACACGGUCCACACUCCUACGGGAGGAAGCAGUAGGGAAUCUUCCGCAAUGGACGAAAGCCUGACGGAGCAACGCCGCGUGAGUGAUGAAGGUCUUCGGAUCGUAAAACUCUGUUAUUAGGGAAGAACAAAUGUGUAAGUAACUAUGCACGUCUUGACGGUACCUAAUCAGAAAGCCACGGCUAACUACGUGCCAGCCGCCGCCGUAA